AGACCCGAAACCCGGUGAUCUAGCCAUGGGCAGGUUGAAGGUUGGGUAACACUAACUGGAGGACCGAACCGACUAAUGUUGAAAAAUUAGCGGAUGACCUGUGGCUGGGGGUGAAAGGCCAAUCAAACCGGGAGAUAGCUGGUUCUCCCCGAAAGCUAUUUAGGUAGCGCCUCGUGAAUUCAUCUCCGGGGGUAGAGCACUGUUUCGGCUAGGGGGCCAUCCCGGCUUACCAACCCGAUGCAAACUGCGAAUACCGGAGAAUGUUAUCACGGGAGACACACGGCGGGUGCUAACGUCCGUCGUGAAGAGGGAAACAACCCAGACCGCCAGCUAAGGUCCCAAAGUCAUGGUUAAGUGGGAAACGAUGUGGGAAGGCCCAGACAGCCAGGAUGUUGGCUUAGAAGCAGCCAUCAUUUAAAGAAAGCGUAAUAGCUCACUGGUCGAGUCGGCCUGCGCGGAAGAUGUAACGGGGCUAAACC
rnacentral:rRNA from 7 species